GUGGGGAAUCUUCCGCAAUGGACGAAAGUCUGACGGAGCAACGCCGCGUGAGUGAAGAAGGUUUUCGGAUCGUAAAGCUCUUUCGUUAGGGACGAACGUGCUCUUUGUGAAUAAUGAGGAGUAAUGACGGUACCUAAAUAAGAAGCCACGGCUAACUACGUGCCAGCAGUCGCGGUAAUACGUAGGUGGCAAGCGUUGUCCGGAAUUAUUGGGCGUAAAGCGCGCGCAGGCGGGAUAUCAAGUCUGUCUUAAAAGUGCGAGGCUCAACCUCGUGAGGGGACAGAAACUGGUAUUCUUGAGUGUCGGAGAGGAAAGUGGAAUUCCAAGUGUAGCGGUGAAAUGCGUAGAGAUUUGGAAGAACACCAGUGGCGAAGGCGACUUUCUGGACGAUGUCUGACGCUGAGGCGCGAAAGCUAGGGGAGCGAACGGGAUUAGAUACCCCAGUAGUCC
rnacentral:rRNA from 1 species